GGAAGCAGGGAAGAUGGAUAAGAGACUCCCACAAUAAUCCAGGCAAGAGAUGAAGGAGUCUUGGUCCAGGAUGGUAACAGUGGAGGGGAAUGAUUAUUUCGGACUCUGAGUCUUGGAUGGUCGUCUCUACAAGCUCCCAAAGGAAAACACCCAUGUGGUUUUUGCCUGCUUGAGGUAAAUACCACCUUAGGCCAACUACCCCAUCUGUAAACUGGGAAUAACACCAGAUUGCAGGGAUGUUGAGGAGGGUUAAUUAUAUACAGAGUGUCUAAGGGUUGAGCAGAUACACAAGUGCUCUGGAAGUUCUUGGCAUAAUACUAUAGCAUUACAAUAAUUCUGGCUUGCAAAUUAUACCCCAGCAGAGGUAUCACAUGGAAAAGUGGAUCCGACUCUACGGCCUGAUGAAAGUGACAUGGAAAAAAUAAGUUAUGAAAUAUAACUUCUCUUCCUGAACUUUUGGAAAAGGCAGAGAUAACCUUUCCAUGUGCAAGACACAUGCAGGGAGCAAGCUUCCAGAUUCUGGUUUUCUACUGGGGCCUCCUUACGUGCAAGAUAAUUAAGUGCCAAUGCGACAGAGGAACAAUUUAAAGGGCUGGAGUGAAGUGGUGUGAUCUCGGCUCACUGCAACCUCU
rnacentral:lncRNA from 1 species